rnacentral:rRNA from 1 species
UACGUAGGGUGCGAGCGUUGUCCGGAUUUAUUGGGCGUAAAGAGCUCGUAGGCGGUCUGUCACGUCGGCUGUGAAAACCCGAGGCUCAACCUCGGGCCUGCAGUCGAUACGGGCAAACUAGAGUACUGCAGGGGAGACUGGAAUUCCUGGUGUAGCGGUGAAAUGCGCAGAUAUCAGGAGGAACACCAAUAGCGAAGGCAGCUCGCUGGGACGUUACUGACACUGAGGCGCGAAAGCGUGGGGAGCGAACAGG